rnacentral:lncRNA from 1 species
AUUUCCUUUACUUUAUAGAUGUAUUCUAUACCUGCUAUGUAGAUAAUGCUCUAGUUUUCCCUUUAGUGCCAACUGGAAAAGGAGAGUUGGCUUUACAGGGGCUGUGGAUUAAGAGCCAGGCUUCAUUCCAUCCCAGGGAGACAAAAAGAGACAGAAGAAGUUACCUCCAGCAGCACCCCAGAAAGCUGACAGAUAUUCCCUGUAUGCAGGUAGUAAACAGAUGGGAGUCUGUGUUUGCAGCUAUGUUCAGUGUAAUUCAGCAGACCUUCACUGGGCACUUGUGAUGGGUCAGGCCCUGUGCCAGCAACAGGGGAAGGGAGGAUGAACAAGGCAUGUUUCCCUGACCAUGAGGAGCUCUUGGCCUGUGAGCUGUUGGGAUGUCCCUUUGUGGUGUUGGAAGCUGUGCACGAGCAGUCAGGACUUUGGGGACAGAAGUUUAGUGUUAGGGAGGCAGGGUAACUUGCUUUGACAGCUACCCACCCUAAGUCAGAUGACAGGUGUAAUUCUAGGGGCCCUGAUAUGCAUCACUGAGGCAGACUGAGGAGCUCUCCAGGGAAGUAGGCAAUAUUUCCCUGAAUAUUCCUCAAUUCCAAUCAAGGCUGACUCAGUUCACUUAUGGAUGAAAGCCAGUUACCCUGCCCACUGGGCAGAAAUAACAUGGUUGACAGCUGACAUUCAGAGAAAAUAAGACAGAAGCAGUCCUUAAAUAUAAACAGCAGCCAGGUGGACCUGGAAAUUUAGGAAGGGUGAUGCAGGUAGAGGGGCCAGCAGGAGCCAAGUCUCAAAAGGCACAAGCCAGACUGAUGCAAGGGAGCCCUCCUGAGGCCCAACAUCAGAGCUGAAGAUCUAAGGAGGGCCCACCUCCACGAGACCUGCUGAGGGCUUACAUUUGGUGCUGAGGAGCAGUGGUUCCCUGGGCCAGCUGCAUCACCUGGGAACAUGUGAGAAGUGCAUAUUCUUGGGCCCCACCCCAGACCUACUGAAUGAGAAGCUCUGGAGGCAGGCAGUCUGUGAUUUAAUGAGCUUUCUGACACACACUAAAGUUUGAGAACCACUGAUGCAGAGGAUGAGGAGAUGACUUGAGCUGGCAUCGGGAAGAACUGACUAUUAACUAACAAGGUAAAAUCAAUGACUAGUGCAGUGAGGGUGCCAAAGCAAACCACCCCCAGCCCCCAUCCUGGGCCUUUUUGGCUCCAGUUUAUACUCACUGAAGCAGUGGUUUCAAGGAACCUUGGUCCUAGUCCGCAUCCUUCACCUGCCCUUGGGCAUGAGACAAUUCCUGCCUGCCUGCCCCUUCUAUCCUAGAGAGAGAGACUGCCCAGGAGAGGCUGCCAUGAGGUCACUCAUCCCCAGGAAGGCCACCUGCCAGGUUUCUGUAAGCUGAGCAGCCUCUUCGAGGGCCAUAUUUUGUGGAGAAACACUGAAACUGCAGCAGUGACCCUGGUCACUAGGAGAGCUGCUUUCUACACAGCCUGUAUGCUGGUGGAGACACCCAGGGCCUGGCAGAGUGUGGAGGGGGUCAUUUAAGGACGUUGCCAGGUUGCCGCAGCACUGCUCUGUUUGUUUGUAAUGAGACUGGGGCAUGCAGCAUCACAAUUCAAACACUGAAUUGCUUGGGGAAUGGAUGGCCUUCCUUGGAAGGGCAGUAACUCAUUCUGGAUGUUACUAAAAGUAGAAAACAAAAAUCCAAAAACAAACCUACAGCCUCAUUUACAAUUAGAAUCUGUCUGGGCCUUCUGAUUUCUAAAGUCUGUGAGGCUGCCAGGAUUCACCAAUUCUCCUUUCCCCUGAGGCCCAGCAACUAUUGAUUUAUAGCUUAAACUCUGUGAAGGUCCACAGACCUUUGAAAGGAACUUGCUGGUACUUUGUCAGUCGUGUACACCUAACUGACUCCUCCUACGAGGUACAGUCUCCUCAUACAAGGGGUUUUGAGAUGGAGAGUCAGAGGGCCAGGGCCCUGGGCUUUGGGGUGGAAGGACAGAAGAGUAGCAGUCUAGGAAAGGGACUAGACAUGUAGCCUAGGAAAACUAGCACCAUCUGUUGAGUUCUGAAGAACCCAGAUUCUCUCCUGCUCACAGCCUCAGCAGUCUUUUCAGAGUCCUCCUGAAUGGCCCAAAGACACCCCUGUUUCUGGGGAACAGAAGGGAGCUGGUACCUCUGGACCAUUGAGGCAACACCUCCCCAGAGGCAGGACCCCGCCCCCAUGAGAACAUGCAGUUGAAUGAUGUGGUGCCUGGCCAGGACCUUGGAAAACGUGGCCAUGUGAGACUAGUAUAGAUCUCCAACUAUUGCUGCCUCUGCUGAUAUGGCCACCUCCUUAAGGUAAGAAGACUACCGACUUAGCUAUUGUGGCACCACGGGAGCCUAGCACUGCACCUGGCCCAUGACAUGUGUGCCACAAAUGUUGAAUUGAAUUGAAUCCCAGAGAUCACUUGACCUCAGUGAAGGGACUGGGUUUGAAGAAUUAAGACCCCCCAGUGGAGAAAGCCUCCUCCAACUUCCUUCUCGGUUUGUGAGUCAAGGUCCUUUGUAAAAUCAGAUCGACGAGGGUGGAAGUGCAGUGAACAGAGGACAACAUUUGUGAUGCACGUGGGAGAAAACAGGAGUGGGGUUGUUUGGGGACUACCCCUUCCUAGCUAUAGUCAGUAAAUGGAGCCCCUAAGCAAGGAGCAGGGGUAGAUGUGCCUGGGUGAGGCCUGCUUGCUCCACCGUCGAGGUCAUGGGCAGCAUCCCAACUGAGGAGAGAAAACCCUAAUUUGUUAAUGACCCAGCCUUGUGCUGCUCUCCAGUUCCUUUCAUCAGAUUUACUGCAGAGCAGAUUCAUCAACAUGAAGUUCAAUUCCCAGUAGACUAAUGAAAAGAGGGCAACAGACUUGAGAAGAGCCAAAAUGCAGACAGUGUGUAUUAAUCACAGACAACAGAAACGUGUUAGCUUUAAUGUCUGUUUGCUUUUAUCUUGAAAUGAAAAUGCAUCUCUGUUACCUGGACCCUUUUUACUGCACAUUUCAGAACAGAAAUGGGACACCCACACACGUAUUGAGGGUCCUUUUCCCCGGCAGGAGGAGCUACCAGAGAAAUGAGCCCACAUUUUGUGUGCAGAGAGAAUCAACCCACAGGUCUCAGCUGCAGACUCCAGCACCUCUGCAGAGAAGGCAGGCAAAGGGAUGAGGAGGUAGCAUCUCCUCUUCAGAAGGAUUCAUAAGGGCCUCUGUGAGGAGGGCCUUGCUUGUGCCUGUGGGUCAUGGAUGUUAAUAUAAAGGCUCAUCCACCCUUGGUGGCAAAAGUGCAUCCAUCCUGGCCAAUAUAGAACACUCACAUCUGGAGCCCACGCCCACCCACCUCCAGCUCCUCUACAUGGCUGCAAGAGCAUGGCUGAUGUGUGGGAUUCAGAAGAGGUCUGCUCAUGUUCACUAGCCAAACUUUAGGUGGUGUGAUACAGCAAAAAGCUUUUUUUGUUUUUCUGUUUUUGUUUUGUUUUUGGCGUGGAGGAGAAAUUUAGACUUGAAAGUCAGGGCUGAUCACUC